CCCAAAUAGCAGUUCUACCGACUGAAUAGCAGUCCUACCGACUGAAUAGCACUCCUGCCGACUGAUUACAAUUACUGGGGGGUGUCACACCCCCCCACACCCCCCCGUAGCUCAGGGCCUGUGUAUAAGGGCCCACAGUAAUUGGUUUACACUGUUGUGGUGUCCCUGCAAUUUUUGUCCAUGUUUAUUGUCUAGAUGUCUAUUUGCUGUUCUGUUAAGUGUUUUUGGCAAAGUUUAAUAAAUAAAAAAUAAAUAAAUAAAUAUAUGACUGUCUUCGUUCACAGAACAUGGCCGCAAAUGGAAUUUUACAUUUAAGAAGUAGAAAAGCCAAUUAAACUUCAUUGCAUUCUUUUAU